ensembl:lncRNA
GGCCGCGGCAGCUGGGAUGGGAGCGGCCGCGGUGUGAGCUGAGCGGCGGCCCAAAUGAGGGGAGCCCUGAAACCCCACGGUUGCACGGCCGUGUCCCGGGCUCGGCUCCUCCGCAGCUCCUGGCUGAAGCCCUCCGUGGCCAUCAAUAGUUUUCGGAGUUGGCUGCCGAGCCGUCGGCUCGCUGAGGGAUGCGGCCAGCCUGCUCGUGGUGAUGAUACCUGUGCAAAAAGUUGCUGUGAUCUCCUACUAAUCGUGAGCAUUCUCCUCUCAGAGCACCGGGUUGCUCUGCAGCGCUGAGAGCCACCUCCUCGCCUCCUGCACGGUGAUGUUUCUCAUUUCACGAAGUUGCUGCGGGACGAACCCGUCUGAGUGGUGCUUUGCUGAGUACGAGCUGCUAACCUUUGAAUCACUAACCAGGGAACCUGUAAAAUUUCAAAACAGCAGAGAUCUGCAGAGAAGAUAGGGCGAUGUCUGCAAUCUUGAAGUGCUGACAGCGCGUGAAUUGGCUCUUCCUGUCAGCCACCAGUUGCUGCAAACCCACAAAGAUCUCAUCUGCUUUUCACUUCCUCCCCAAGCCGGGCUCAGCGCUCCCCUGCCCAGCACCCCGACAGCUGCUCACCGGGCACCGCUCUGCAUCUGCUGCACCCGACGUCGCUCCGCUGCUCUGUGUCUGCUGUGCUCGGACCCACCGCCACCUCCCACAUCCCUGCCACCGUGUCACCGUGCUGUGUCCCCGCCGCGUGACCCCCCCAGCACUGAUCUCGCGGAGUACAACCCCACAUCCACGCAGUCUCCCGCUGCUCUGCUGCUGCUCUGCCUUCUCCCAGAGUUGCCCCAGUGAGGAGACCUGUGCUGGGAGACGUUCUCCCCUGCAGUUUAUUGUCCUAAGUAUUGUCAUCUUUGGGGACCGGCGUUGCACCAAGGAAGUCUGCAAGCUGGGUGCCCCCCAGGUGUGGCUGGCUUAUAGAAAUCCUGAUCAGAGACAUUAAAUUCUGACUUUUGGUGUGGGUCGGGACAGCAAAUGGUACGCACGUGUGCCAUAGGAACCGGCACAAAGCAGAAGUGAGUGUGUGGCAGCCAGGGGAUGGAGGCACAACGUGAA